UGACGAGUUUGAUCCUGGCUCAGAUUGAACGCUGGCGGCAGGCCUAACACAUGCAAGUCGAGCGGAUGAAAGGAGCUUGCUCCUGGAUUCAGCGGCGGACGGGUGAGUAAUGCCUAGGAAUCUGCCUGGUAGUGGGGGACAACGUUUCGAAAGGAACGCUAAUACCGCAUACGUCCUACGGGAGAAAGCAGGGGACCUUCGGGCCUUGCGCUAUCAGAUGAGCCUAGGUCGGAUUAGCUAGUUGGUGAGGUAAUGGCUCACCGAAGGCGACGAUCC
rnacentral:rRNA from 1 species